AUUGAACGCUUUCUUUCUUCCUAACACAUGCAAGUCGAACGGCAGCACAGUAAGAGCUUGCUCUUACGGGUGGCGAGUGGCGGACGGGUGAGGAAUACAUCGGAAUCUACUUUUUCGUGGGGGAUAACGUAGGGAAACUUACACUAAUACCGCAUACGACCUACGGGUGAAAGCAGGGGAUCUUCGGACCUUGCGCGAUUGAAUGAGCCGAUGUCGGAUUAGCUAGUUGGCGGGGUAAAGGCCCACCAAGGCGACGAUCCGUAGCUGGUCUGAGAGGAUAAUCAGCCACACUGGAACUGAGACACGGUCCAGACUCCUACGGGAGGCAGCAGUGGGGAAUAUUGGACAAUGGGCGCAAGCCUGAUCCAGCCAUACCGCGUGGGUGAAGAAGGCCUUCGGGUUGUAAAGCCCUUUUGUUGGGAAAGAAAAGCAGCAGGUUAAUACCCCGCUGUUCUGACGGUACCCAAAGAAUAAGCACCGGCUAACUUCGUG
rnacentral:rRNA from 1 species